ACUCCUACGGGAGGCAGCAGUAAGGAAUAUUGGACAAUGGGCGCAAGCCUGAUCCAGCCAUCCCGCGUGCAGGAUGACUGCCCUAUGGGUUGUAAACUGCUUUUAUGUGAGAAGAACCGCCUGGAUUUAUCUGGGUUUGACGGUAUCACAGGAAUAAGCACCGGCUAACUCCGUGCCAGCAGCCGCGGUAAUACGGAGGGUGCAAGCGUUAUCCGGAAUCACUGGGUUUAAAGGGUGCGUAGGCGGCCUUAUAAGUCAGAGGUGAAAGUUUGCAGCUUAACUGUAAAAUUGCCUUUGAUACUGUUGGGCUUGAAUUAGGUUGAGGUUAGCGGAAUGAGUCAUGUAGCGGUGAAAUGCAUAGAUAUGACUUAGAACACCAAUUGCGAAGGCAGCUAGCUAGACCUACAUUGACGCUGAGGCACGAAAAGCGUGGGGAGCGAAACAGGAUUAGAUACCCUGGUAGGAUAGCG
rnacentral:rRNA from 1 species